rnacentral:lncRNA from 1 species
GGGCUAACCAACAGCCGCAGUACCAGUACCACGGACUGGAAUCCUGCCUGCAUCUGCCCUCCCGAGGACAGCGCAGCCCACAAGGAUAAGGGUACAUCUGGCUGGUGUCUUGAUCACUACAAAUGCUAGUGACCAAGACAGAGGAUCUGCAGAUGACUUGUCUCCCCCACCCAGGGACCAGAUGCUGUGGGAGCCAGUGCCACUGAUCUCAGCCAAGAGGCUAAGAAGUGAUGAGCGCGCACACACACGAGCCAUCAGGACGCAGAAGUAAGACUGCUAUUUAACCUCAGAAUCCACUUCGGACUGCUAUGUGUCUUGAAAAUUUCAGCAAUGGAUGCAAGGAUAUUUCCUGAGGUCAUGGAAACUGGAAAAGCCAGUGGAAACCAGGCAGACACAGUUCAUAAGGAGAAUACAGUGGAUCUCUCAAACAACCCCAGACAUCCCCCUACCACGAUGUCAAGGCAAAGGAGUCCACUGAAUUGUAUUCACCAGAUGGUCAGGCUACAGGGACACAGCCAUUCUGUCCCUCUGCUCAGGACAACUGUGAAAAGCUCCUCUCUGGGAGACUGGCAACAUUAGAAAGAUUAUAAACGUGGCCACUGAGACUGUAGCUCAGUACUGGCCCAUUACUGGAGAAGACCAGGCCCACUGUUGCAUUUUAAACACUGCAUAUCCUUCAACCCUCUAAACCUUUCAGUGCCUAGCCUACACAUGUGUGCACACCUGCACACUUACAAAAUGCACUCACACCCGACUGAUCAGCAGAGCUGAAGCCCAGAAAUAAGAAGCAUUUUUUUCAAUAGAUGGUUAAGGAAACUGUGGAACAUGUGUACCACAGAAAGUGGGUGUUCUUGGUGGACUGCUAUAGACAGAAGUGAGGAAGACCAAGUCCAGAAGAAAUGCUUGGACCGUUUGGAUAAACAGCAUGGGUUGCACAAGCACCUGCCUGUCUGUUCAGAAGUGAGAAUGGGCUCCCUCCAGCAGACAGAAGAAAAGACUGGAGAACAACUUAACCCAAGCCAAGCUCCCCAACUCCUUAAAUAAUCCAUACGGCAACUAGAAAAUGAUCUAGUCAUGAAGGGUUUGGCAAGAUGGAACAGCAGGUAAAAGCGCUUACCACGCCAGCCUGACAACAAGAAUCAGGUUCUUGGACCCCCCACAUUCAAAGGAGAGCACAGAGGAAGCAGCCCCCACCCCCAGCUGUGUCACGAACGCUGCUGUGUGCAUGCGUAUAUGCGUAUACAGCACACAAUAAUAAAAAAAAAAAUAGAAAAUGAGA